rnacentral:piRNA from 1 species
UGCACAUGGGCUUAAAGCUGUCCUGUCAGA